rnacentral:rRNA from 1 species
UACGGGGGGGGCAAGCGUUGUUCGGAAUUACUGGGCGUAAAGGGCUUGUAGGUGGCCAAAUAAGUCAGACGUGAAAUCCCUCGGCUUAACCGGGGAACUGCGUCUGAUACUGGAUGGCUUGAGUGUGGGAGAGGGAUGCGGAAUUCCAGGUGUAGCGGUGAAAUGCGUAGAUAUCUGGAGGAACACCGGUGGCGAAGGCGGCAUCCUGGACCAUUACUGACACUGAAAAGCGAAAGCCAGGGGAGCAAACGGG